rnacentral:rRNA from 1 species
AUACGGAGGAUGCGAGCGUUAUCCGGAUUUAUUGGGUUUAAAGGGAGCGUAGGUGGGAUAUUAAGUCAGCUGUGAAAGUUUGGGGCUCAACCUUAAAAUUGCAGUUGAUACUGGUUUCCUUGAGUACGGUACAGGUGGGCGGAAUUCGUGGUGUAGCGGUGAAAUGCUUAGAUAUCACGAAGAACUCCGAUCGCGAAGGCAGCUCACCUGGCCGGAACUGACACUGAUGCUCGAAAGUGCGGGAAUCAAACAGGAUUAGAUACCCUGGUAGUCCGCACAGUAAACGAUGAAUACUCGCUGUUUACGAUACACGGUGAGCGGCCAAGCGAAAGCGUUAAGUAUUCCACCUGGGGAGUACGCCGGCAACGGUGAAGCUGAAAGGAAUUGACGGGG